rnacentral:lncRNA from 10 species
AUUAUUUCUGUGAUCCUGUCUAUUCCUGGCUUCUGAAGCACUUGACCCAUUCAGUUAUUCUUCCCUUCCUGAGUCUUCAACCUCUCCUUCUAUGCCAGAUCCUAUUCUUCAACAUUCACAGAUUCUCCAGCAUCUCCCAUGUCUCCCAUUUUAUACAAAGUACAGCCUUUAAUUCCAUCUCUUCUUGUAGUAAAUGCCUUAGUAUCCUCUAG